CAUUCAUCUACUUAUUUUGAAAAUAAGUGGGGUUUUUUUGUUUGUUUUUGUUUUAGCAUAUGACAGUUCACAGAGAAACAAAAGGGGCAAUCCCUUGUAAAAAUGUCUUUGAUGACCAGGAGGUUUCUCACAGGUAACCAGUAAAAAUUCACUGAACACCAGAAAGCUCAUCUGUGCAUAUUAGCAAGUCUGGGAAACACCUUUUUUUUUUUCAGGUUAAUGUACCUAAAGUGUUCUAGAGGUAAAUGCAAAUGGAGGAAUUCCUACAACUAAUGUAUACAGCUGGAAUUAUCAACUUUAAUCAAAGAGAAAAAGAGGGCUAACUUCCAUUUCCAAAGCUCAUCUGUAUGCAUGUAUCUCAUCAGCAACAGAUAUUUCUGCUCUGCAUUUAUUUCUAUGGUUCAUCAAGGGACUUUUCUGGACAUAAUGCUAUCUGACAUAUGUACGAAUCCUUCUUUGUUUUUUGGCUCAAAGCUUGCUUUCUGAGGCAUUUCUUGUGAUAAGACUCCGACUUAGAUGAGAGGUGGGUGUCCCUUAUGCUUCCUAUAGGGACUCCUUGCUUCUAUUUCCUUUCUUUUCUACUGCCCUAUUUCCCCAUCACCCCAAUCCACAGUAGUAUCUGUCCUUCCCUUCCCCAUCUCCCUUAUUAAGAUUUGUAAUAAACUGGUCAGACCAACAUUUGAACUGUUGUUUCUUAAUCUCACGCCGGGUAUACGUAUAUCAAAGAACCUCCUCUCCCUCCUGUAAAUUGGAGUGAGACAACAUAAUCACCGAAAUACAGAAACUCCUGCUAACUGACACAGGGCUGGAGAGUUUCUCUCUUCCAGACAUACAUUAUUGACUACCUGCAUCUCAGUCAAAUGUCCAAAGCUGAGCUGGAAACAUAAAAUAGAAUUAAGUGUUUAUCCUAUGGACUGGUUGUCUAAAGCUCCUAAUACAACAACUUGGGUUGGUCACCUACAGGAAAUGGUCUCAGAUAAGUCACUGAUAUUUGGGAUGGCAAAAAUCACAAUAAAAUUCACAUUCAAGAUUAAGAGAUAAGAGACUGGAUCUAAUAAGACUAUUGAUAAAGUUCUGGAAGAAUUAGUACGGAAUAAUCUACAAUAAAACAGGAGAUGCUGCUCUCUGUCCUAUUCUGUAGCUUCAUUUUUCAACCAUCUUUCAUGCUAAAUAGUAACGUUUAAUGUACCAUUAGGUAUCAUUUGCUAUUUCUCUUUUCAGCUGUCUUUCUUUCUUCCCUUGGGAAUGUCAUUCCUCUCCCUGCAUUAUGUUACCACUUGCAAAUCUGAUCACUGUGUUGUUUAGUACCUUUUAUAAUGAAUAUGUAUGAAGGUAAAACAUUCUAUAUUUUACUCUGUUUUCCAGUUUUCAUAUAAUUGCACAGUACUUAUAUAUACAAAAUUAAUGUGUUUUCCACAGAAAAUAUGAAAAUACUAAAUGUUUCUAGUAUUGCAAAACAUUGAUGCUGUGUUCUCUAUUCAAAAAAAAAAAAGGAAAAUUGACAGAACCAAAUUUGUUUGCAUGAGAAAGUUAGGAUAUGGGUAGAUGAAAGCCACAUUGAUGUGUUUUUAUAUUCUGGGCUAGCAUCAGAAAGUAAAAGAGCAGCCUCAAGGCGUCUUGGCAGCUGACAACAGCUGGAGCCAGGCUGAGCAGCAAUAAGAUCGUGAUGUGAUUCUGUAUGGCUUUUUGACAAAGUAAAAAUUGAGCUAAUGUGUGCUCUUGCAGGUGACAGGAUCAGAAGGAUGCCUGGCGGUAGGAUGCUGUGAGAUAGUUUGCUGUGGAGGGUAUUGGUUUAAAGCACCUUUUCAGAUGAGCUUUGACAGCAAUACUUGUAAUCGUAGGAUAUUUAAAGUAUUAUGUCACUUGCACUGUUAUGGCAACACAAAGGACAGAUCAGAAGUCUAGGAAAGUUGAUAAGAAAACUGAAGACAAAUGGAAGGGAAAAUGAAGAAAGGAGAAAGGUAGGUAGACAUUAUGCUACAAAAAAACAUAACAAAACAAAACCAAAAACAGAUGGUAUACUAGAGUGCCUAUUUUCACAUCCGUAGAUGAAGCAGGCCAGUUUGUCUGAACCUGAAUAUGUGUCUGUGGUUGAAACAAAAUGUGUACUGGAAGUUAGAUAAGUCAUUAAGAAAGAAUUGAAGUGACUGCCUCAAACCACUCCAAAACCUGUGUCAGUGGUAUGUGGGCUGGUUCAGCCUGGUUCCAUGACCAGCGGGGAAUCUGCGCCUCUGGAAAGGGGAAACAGCAGACCCCAAAAUAAUUAAGAACAGCGUCAGUGAUCUGAGGAGAAACAAACUAAUUUACUAAGUAUGGUAUAUGAAUGUGAGAUAACACACUAUAAUACAAUAUAAUUAGAAUUGAAGCUAAUAAAUCAAAUUAUUUGAUUUAUGAGAGAGUGUCCAAAAGGUGGAAAGGCCUCACCAUAAUGCUGAGGUGAGAUGCACAAUUGGGUCGAGCAGUGGGGACGAGAGAGAGAGAAAAAGGGCAGGUCAGGUGAUCCACGAAAGCUUAUAUCCCCUCUCUGAAUGCUCUGAAUACUCUCUGGGGUAUGUAGUUCUUCUCUUCCGGACAGGUGCCUGGAAUUGGAGCAUUAACUCUUUAACUCCCAGUGCAGUACGAGGUUAUGAUGUGGAAUACUGAUAACCAAAAAUCAUAAAACCAUGACAACCUGCCCAAGGGCAGGUAAUUUUUCCAUUAAUAUUCAAAGAACUCCAAAACCUCUGUUAGUGAUUUGGAGGACCUGCAGGGCCACGUUCUGAGGAUCUUAUCCUGAAGCAUACAGUGCCUUUCAUGAGUCUCACAAGCCAUUUGUGGGAUUGAACACUAGAAGUAUCUAAGAAUUAUUACAUUCUACACUGCACUGAGAUGCAUCUGCCUCAAGGGCCUCCCCCUCUUAAAAUUAAAGACAGCAUUUAAUACUUUAUAAGAGACAGUGAACAAGAGUCACAUUCAAAAACUUACCAGAGAAGACUGACCUUGGGCAUAAGUCCUUAUUCUGUCAAAGCUUUGAGAUGACAUAUGAUAAAGACUUAUACUGACAAGUGUCAAAUCUAAAUACUACGUUUUUUGGAGGGUAUGCCAGAUCCUUUCUGUACCCUUUAGUAUCUGAUGACAAUAACUGGUUGGUAAAUAAGAGUUGUUAUUGUUAGUGAAUAAGCAAAAAAUUGAAAUAUUUUCUACUAGAAAAUGCUAUCACAUUUCUUUUUGCAGUUAUGGAGAAUUCGUGCCUGUUUUGAUAUAGCUGUUAUGCAGAAUAACAGCAAUUAAAAGUUCUGUCAACCAUUCUAUUACUUAAGAUCCUCCCUCCAAAACCAGUACAAGAAAGACAGCAAUAGACUGAAGUGAGUCCAGCAGAGGGUCACCAUGAUAGCUGGGGGCUGAAGCACUUGCCCAGUGGCUUGCCUGAGGGGAACAGGGCUUGUUCAGCAUCACCCAGUAUCUACAAGAUCACGAAAUCUGAGCCAGGCUCUUCACAGAGCAUGACAGGAGGAGGGAAAACAGGCAGUCAGCAUAAAAUAAAACAGGAGAAGUUUGACCAAUUAAAAGGAAAACAUUUUCACUAUUAGGAUUCUCAAGCAUUAGAACAGGUUUCCCAGAAGGGUUCUGAUGUUGUUGUCUUAGAACAGGAGUUUGGACUAGAGAGAUUCUGAGGUCUCUUCCAACCUGAAUUAUGCUAUGACAGUUUGGUAGAAAAAGAUAAGGCUAUGCUUCCUGUUACACAGUCUGAUAGGCUUGCAUAAACAAUAUGGUGUUGUUUUGAAUACCUCUACAGUUUCACAAUUCACAACACCACAUUUUCACAAUUCCUUCAUUUCUGAUCCAGAUUAUUAGUAAAAUAAAAGGUUCUAUAGGAAGAAAUAUGGAAUUAAGCUAAUGGCAUUUACAAUGGCUGCUCUGAAAGUAACAACUCCUAUUUUAUUAUGCUGGCUCAUGACAUCAGAGGCGGGAGUUGGUGAUAUGGCAAUAGAGGCUGAACCUUCCUACCAGUAUUCCAUUACAUUCUGUUGUCAUAUUACAGAUGGCAGUAGAAGGGCAGUUUGACAAAAUGGCUUCUUACGUGGAAGUGUGUAUGAAGUAAAAGUGUGGAACUGAACUCCUCCAUGUGAAAAAAUUGCAUCAUUGGUAUUCACCAACACUGAGCAGUGGAUGUGAAUAUAGUGAGGUGGUGGGUGGUGUGUUUCAGCAGUGGUGACAGCUACAGUUGUUCACCUCUACUGGUGCAGAUUUAAAUGAGUGUGGCUCUUGUUCAUUGCUGGCAAAAAAAGCAUAACUAAUGGUGGUGACUAUGUUGAAAACCAGUUGUAGUUGAGAAUUUUAUCUAUCAAAUAGUUUUAUUGUGCUCUUUGUAUCUUUUGUAGUUUCCAUGAAAAUAAAUAGGAGGUAUUACCUACAUUACAAACAGUGCAAAUACUUGCUUUUGCUACAGUUUCUAUUUGGAUUAACUGCUUUUCUAAACUGAAAGUGCUAUUGUCUAAAAGGAGGUCAUCUCUCAGUAAUACGGACAUUGAUGACACAACAACCGGUUCUAUUUCCACAAUACAAAACUAUAACUCCAAUAGUUUGAUUAGGUUUUUCACAUGAGCAGUAAUGAAGACAAACUAUCUAGAUUACAGCUGCCUAUUUCUAGAUCAAGGUUACAGCAAUAGGACAAAGAAAUUAAUUCAUGCAUACAUCUUGCUAACGACCCAUUCAGGUCUGUUUUCUUACAACAGAAAGGCUUUCCUUUCUUCAAGUUCUAUAGAAAAUACUCUCGCAAAAGACAACGGGCAGAGAGGGAAGAAUGAACUAGUGGAAUACUUAGAGAAUAAGCAAAAAAUCACACAAGUUAAAAAAUAAAAUAAACAGACCAUUUCUCAACUUGUAAAUACAUUAGGAUUCAACUCUGCAUGUAUUUUCAGUGGGUGUGACAUUUGCCUGCUGCUCAGAGUUAAUUCAGGGGAAAAGGGAUGUUUCCUGUAUUUCUAAAAUACAGAGUGCAUUUUUCCUGUACUCGUGCUGUUUCUAGAAAACAACAAACCUAUUUCUAAUUAUUUCAGGCCUGACAUUUUAGAUUAUUAAAUCACUUAUAUUGUUCUAUUACAGCAUAUUGAAGUUUUAGCCAGUAUGGUAACAAGCUGUGUGAAGAAUAAUCUGCUUACGCCCCACCUGAAACAUAUUCCAUGCUGACUCAGGCUCACUUUUUGAGCAAAACAGUCUCUUCAGGAAAUCUGCAGUCAAUUUUAGCUAGAUAUGCUUUACAUCUGCCAAAACAUGUGCAGAGCUAGUAGGAAACAGAGCUAUUUACAAAGAGAAGUUCUGUUUCCCCAUUCUCAACUCAAAUCCAAGUAAUAGGUUUAUGAUGAUAUCUGCAAGAGGAUUUAAGGAACUCAAACCAAGAGAAGCUUUGUGAGAUGAUGAGAAAUGAUGGAUUCAAUGUAUCAGAGCUGUUGCUACGUGGAAAUAUCGGAGCUGCUUGGGUUGGCUCAAUGGCCUGAUUAAGUUAGCAAGAAACUGUGCUUUCCAUUCACCAUUACAAGAUUUUAUCAUAAAUUAUUUUAUUAACGUGGUACAGAGAGACUCUCUCCUUAAAAUAGAUCUUGGAUUGCAAGGCAAUCCAAUGUAGAUGCAAUGCUAAGGAAUGUAUACAGAUACCAUUAAGUAUUAUUACUUUUAUAAAAGUGAGCAGUAGAAUAUUCAUAAAAAUGUAGGCUAAAAUUAAAAGGCCAAGUAAUAUUAAAUUCAAUAUCAUAUAGUUGUAAUGCCAAAAAAACAACAUCAAAAUCAACAAAAAAAGAACCCACGAAACCCACAACCUUAAACAUAACUUUUACGUCUCCAGGAAAAUUUCAGGCUGUUAUAAAAAGUUGUCAUUAAAGUGAGAAAACAUCUUACUCUGACUUCUGAAAACAUAACGGUCCCUCUUCCUCAGUGGCCAGCAUUUUUGCUUUCCAUUCACUCCCUACAAAUUCUUUAAAAUCCAUAAAAUUAGGGAGUGGCUUGUUUAUUUGUCUGCAUUGUCAGCAAGCUUAAAUUGAAACUGCUUAUUAAAUGAACAAUCAGGCCCUUAUAUACUUUCUUCUUAAUGUAACUAUUAGGAAUUUGAACAAGUUUUCUUAUUUCUAUCCAUUCCUGAAAAACUGAAAAUGAAGUUUUUUAAAACCGUGUUCCAUUAACAACACUUACAGCCUGAUAUACUAACG
rnacentral:lncRNA from 1 species